rnacentral:rRNA from 1 species
AUUGAACGCUGGCGGCAGGCCUAACACAUGCAUGUCGAGCGGUAGCACAGAGAGCUUGCUCUCGGGUGACGAGCGGCGGACGGGUGAGUAAUGUCUGGGAAACUGCCUGAUGGAGGGGGAUAACUACUGGAAACGGUAGCUAAUACCGCAUAACGUCGCAAGACCAAAGAGGGGGACCUUCGGGCCUCUUGCCAUCAGAUGUGCCCAGAUGGGAUUAGCUAGUAGGUGGGGUAAUGGCUCACCUAGGCGACGAUCCCUAGCUGGUCUGAGAGGAUGACCAGCCACACUGGAACUGAAACACGGUCCAGACUCCUACGGGAGGCAGCAGUGGGGAAUAUUGCACAAUGGGCGCAAGCCUGAUGCAGCCAUGCCGCGUGUGUGAAGAAGGCCUUCGGGUUGUAAAGCACUUUCAGCGAGGAGGAAGGCGGUGAGGUUAAUAACCUCAUCGAUUGACGUUACUCGCAGAAGAAGCACCGGCUAACUCCGUGCCAGCCGCCGCGGUAA